rnacentral:rRNA from 1 species
UUGGAGGGCAAGUCUGGUGCCAGCAGCCGCGGUAAUUCCAGCUCCAAUAGCGUAUAUUAAAAUUGUUGCAGUUAAAAAGCUCGUAGUCGGAUUUUUGUUGACUGCUUCUGCAUAGGCUCUGUGUCUAUGCAGAAUGCGUGUCGGCUUCCUCUGGAUCACCCUCGUGGUGUAUUCAGAGCUGUUACUUUGAGAAAAUUAGAGUGUUUCAAGCAGGUUGUUGCCUUGAAUACUCCAGCAUGGAAUAACAAGAAUGACUUUUGUCCUUCUUGUUGGUUUGA